AGUUUGUUGACGAAAAUAAGUCAACCUCUUCGCGAAGAAGAUAAAAGAUAUCUGUCACCAUUACGCCAUACCUGGUGGUACGGUUUUAAAAAAUAUUUGUACAAUUUCUGGAACUUCUUUGAUGUUAUAUCGUAUUCUAUAACAAUCAUUGCCAUGUGUUUUCGAUUUUCCAAUUCGACACCUUUAAACCACGCUUUUGCCAGACGGGUUUACAGUUUAAGUUUGUUUACAAUGUAUAUGAGAUUUCUUCAUGUCAUAUUGAUGUCAAGGAAACUAGGACCAAAGAUUAUCAUGAUCAAGGAAAUGUUAAAGGAUCUCCUUCGAUUCAUUGGAAUUUUAUGUGUGUUCAUGUUGGGUGUUGGGGUACUGUAUCAUGCAAAUAUGUACCCAAAACAUGUUGAUAUGUGGAACCCAGCAGGAUGGGAAUACUGGAGAAUAUGGAAAAUAAUGUAUAUCCCUUACUGGCAAAUGUAUGGGGAUUCCUUCCUGGAUACUUUCAAUGAAAACAGCACAACGCCAUGUACCACAAUACAAAGUGAAUGGGAAAACAAUCCUGAUAUAGAACGGUGUAAUCAGUAUGAUUGGAUACUUGGUGUGAUUGCUGCAUUAUAUAUGCUGAUAUCAAACCUUCUCCUCGUCAAUCUUGUGAUAGCUUUGUUUAGCUAUCGAUUUGAACGGGUUCAGGAAAAUUCAGAGAAACUAUGGCGAUACCUAAGAUAUGAAGUCAUCAUGGAUUUCAAAUCUAGAAUACCUGCUCCUCUUAACCUUAUCAUCAGACCACUACAAUUUCUGUUCAAGCGCUUUAAGACAAAGUGUAUAAAACCAGAACCACACAAACCUGAUAGCAGAUUAUUGGAUCGAAUAAAUACACUUCAAUCUAUACAUGCAAUUAACUGUGCGAAUAAUAUUUUGAGUUAAAAAUAGAUGCCUGAAAAGGAUAUUAUUAAUCACUUUUAUAUAUAUUACGCUGAUAUGGAGAAAAAGACCAACACAUACUUUUUAUAGAUUUUAGCAAUACGUUUUAUCUAUUUGUUUCUGCGUAGGUACAAUGACAAUGUAGUAGUAGUACUUUUUAGAAUAGCUGUAUUUUCUACUUCACACUUUUUAAUACUAGAUGAAUGUUAUAAGUUAUCGCUAUCAAUUUAUAAUUUGCAUAAGAUAUGUAUGCUUUCUUAUAACUUUUGAUUAUGUGAUAAUUUUUUUUCCUUUUUUAACUCCCUUCUUGUGUCCACCGCUGAUAUGAUUUACCUGAUAGUCUGAUUAAUUGAGGACAGCAUAACGUCUAAAAAACUUACAUUUCAGGAGCAUAACUGUUAAAUCGAAUGUUUAACAUGCAUAUCCAUAAUGAUCCAUAUAUAAGAUGUGGUAACUCUCCCUCGGGCUCAAUAUCCUGACCAAAACAUUGUUUUCUCUCCGGUGUCACUUGAAUGGGAAAUAAGCAGCUAAGACAUACUUCAGUCUUUCACUUUUAUUGUUGGGGACAGUCACUAAAUAUCCCAUCCGAGGGAAACAGAAUAUCGCGGAACCACCGAGGUACAGUUGGAACCUGCUCUCUCAAACUCUAUCAAAAAUUGUCAGUAAAACUGUUAUAGAAAAGUCUGUAAAAUAAUUUGCCGCCAAUGUUAGAACAAUUUCUGACAGAGGUAGCUCUACCGGCUAGAAUAGUUUUGGACGAUUCUAACCUUUAAAGAUAUUAAUAUAGCAGGAUACCUUGUUCGUGAAAGCUGUAGCAAUAAGGUAACUGUAACAUAUUUCGACUAAUAAAUUAAUUAUCAUUGUUAAAAAAAACCUGUUUUGGACAGAUCUUUACCUAGAAUAGUUUAAAACAUAUAUAUCUUACUUUUAACAUAGUUUUAGACAGUUCUACUGUAUACAUCGUAACUGAUUUUGCUAUCUUUACACAAGAACUGUUUAUGACAUGUCUUCUCUGAACGGAUCCUGACAGUUCUAUCCCUCCAACAGUUUUGGACAGCUCUUAUCAAUAUAUCUAAUAUUUUUUUAUAUUCAUUUAUUUUAACUUUAUAUACUAUUAAUUCAAUUAAUUUAUUUAUUUUCUUGUUGUACUUAUCCAAUUAUUCAUAGCAUUGCGGUCAAAAAAGUAAAUAUAAAGAGAGUUAAGUUCUGGCGCCUUUAACAUACAAGUAUAACGAAUUGAACGAAUGAUGUUACCGUAUUUGUCCUCAACCUUACUUCUUAACGAACCACAGGCCUUCAUUAAUCUAUAUGUCUAAGCAAAUGUUAUUAGAAUCUACCAACCAAAAUGAUACAAAUUUUAUUGGAGUGAUUACAAUGCAACUGUGGUAAACUAUUAAACCGCAAAAACUACUAAUCAGAAUUUGAUUAUAUUUAUCUUUACCCGAAAUGUAAAUAUAUCAAUGUUUGGUACGACUCAUUCAUGAGAGCAAUCUGUCGAAUAUGUAGAACAUUUUACAUUUUCGUUUUUCACAUCAGGUGCAGUUUAUCAAGUAUUGGUUCAGACUUCCGAACGAAAUAUAAAUAAAGAGAUAAGGAAUAAUUGCCAGAGAGAUAAUUAUUUAUAAUUCAAAAAGGACAAGUCUACACCAGAAUUUAACUUUGCAGUUUUACCGUAAACCAGUUUUGGACAGUUCUUUAUAGGACUGAAUCUGUCAGUUCAACCCUAGAACUGGUUCUUAAGGUUUUACCCUUAAUAAAAUGAGAAGUGGUAUGACUGCAUAUUGAGACAAAUAUCCAUUAAAGACCAAUAUUGGUAGCAGUUAAGUCACGAUACAUCCUUCAACAAUGACCGAACCCUUACCUAAUAGCCAGUCCACGAAAUGACAACAUGUAAAUAUAAUUCUAACAAGAAAUUUCAUCCCUGCUAUUUUUGACCAAUUUUCUGGCAGUUUCUCGCAGCAAUGAUAAUUUGGAAAAGUACCUAGCUACCAUAUAUGUUUUUAACGUUAUCACUAACGGCACCUGAACUCCGUAGGGUCAUAUCACUGUUUUACCAUUUAUUCCUAAUAACACAGUGAAUUAGUUGUACGGUGCUCCUAUGUUUUUAUAUAUAUUCAACUUUGUAAUAACUAUUUAUAACUAUUUUUUAUUAUUGUUGGUUUUUGUUUAACGUUAUAUAGCUAUAGUAAGUUAUCCAUGCUUUUGUGCAACUGCAUUUUGUUUUACUUGGUAACAUUGGAAAUGGUUUGUUUUUCCAUUUUCCAUUUUUAUGUUUUAUUAUUCUAUUGUUUCUUUUUCUACAUAUUAAUGGUCGACGAUAACUAAUACUUUUUAUUGAUAAAUGAUUAAAUGGUAAUAUAAUCUAAAGCUAUUCAUCGAAAAGGACUAAAAUACUGCAUUUGAUUCAAUUGGGUUGUGUUUUCGCCAAAUAUUUCGGGAAAGGCUGGCAAAACAUACCAUUUGUAUUAAUUGUGCACAUUUUCAUGAGUGUACAACACUAUUCCAUUUAUUUUGUUUUAAAAAGAAAAAUAAGUUUAAAAAGAAAUGUUUAAGAUUCGUGAAAAUCGUGUGAUGUGGUGAGCAUGGUGAUUGUUUUUUCAAUUUAUAUUUAUUUUAAGUUUGAAAAUUGAUUAUAAACAAACAAAUAAGUUUGAUUUAAAUAAUUUUUUUUAUGAACAGGUUAAAAAGAAGGCAACAACAGAAAAAUGUUUAACUCUCGUAAAUCUUUAUUGAAUUUUACAAACCAUAUGAAGGCUGUAAGGCUGUGUGAAUCCUAUGAACCGAUCUUUAACUCUCGUAAAUCUUUUUUGGAAUAUACAAAUACAAACCAAAUGAAACCUGUUUGAAUUUCACAAAUAGAGGCGAGACCGGUGUUACUGCAAAUAGACACCUCCUUCUUUGCAUGCAUAACUCACAUUUAGAAAUUUUUCUAAAUUGCCUGAUUCAUACAAAGACUGGCAUACCUCACAUUUAGAAUCAAUACUUAAUAAAAUCAAAUGUCGCGAUAUGAAUAAGGACACAACCAUGGCCGAACGAACUAAAUAUAUCACUCGUUAAGAAAUUUGUCAGUUUAUUGAUCAUUAGUAGAUCAUAAUAAUCAAUUAUCAUGUAAUCAAUAAUAGUUGAAUUGAAUUUUUAGCGAGUUGACCCCCGUAUGGUCAAAUCUAUUUUUCCUAUUUUAUCCUUAUGACACAAUGAAUUGUGCGGUGACUCCUUUGGUAUUAUAUAUAUUACAAUUUAGAGUUAAUUCCUUAAUAAUUUUUUUAUUGUUUUGUUUGUUUAAAUAUCAUUUAUAUAUAGUAAGUUAUCAAUAUGUUUGUUCAACUAUAUUUUAUACUCUUGAAUAUGUAGAUAGUCACAUGGGAUAUCCUUUGACAUUGACAUUGGCAAAGCUGAUUUUUAUAAGUCAAUGUAUUGUAUAAUUCAUGUGUUAUAUAAAUUGCAAGUGUAAUCAAUAUUUCUUUUAUGUAAGGGUUAAUAUUUUUCAAUUUUUUAAUAUUCAUGAUCAUGAUGUUUACUCUUUUUUUAAAUAUUCAUGUUUAUAGAGUUUGCAAUGAUUUCAAUACGUCGACGAUAACUAACAUUUACAAUUGAUGAAUGAAUGAAUGGUAAUAAAACCAAAGGUUAUUCACUGCAAAAUACUCCAUACUUUGAUUCAAUUGGGUUGUAUUUUCGCAAAAAAGUAGAAGAGCCGUGGAAAAUAUAUCAUAUUUAUUAAUUGUGCAACUGUAAUAUAUGACCAACACUAUUUUAUUCAUUUUGAAUUUGAAAAUGUUAGUUUAACAAAAUGUCAUCUAACGUUUUAACAUUCCUGUAGAUCUUGUGAUGUGGUGAAGCUUGGUGAUUAUUUAGUUUUCAGUUAACAUUUACUUCCAUCUAGAACAUUGAUUUUAAACAAAUGAAAAUAAAUUGAUAUAAAGCAUUA